UACGGGGGGAGCAAGUGUUGUUCGGAUUUACUGGGCGUAAAGGGCGCGUAGGCGGUCAGCACAAGUCAAUUGUGAAAUCUCCGAGCUUAACUCGGAAAGGUCAACUGAAACUGUGCGACUAGAGUGCGGAAGGGGCAACUGGAAUUCUUGGUGUAGCGGUGAAAUGCGUAGAUAUCAAGAGGAACACCUGCGGCGAAGGCGGGUUGCUGGGCCGACACUGACGCUGAAGCGCGAAAGCCAGGGGAGCGAACGGG
rnacentral:rRNA from 1 species